GAGCUUCCUGUGCUUGUUCAUCCUCUGGUGUGACUGUUGAGUUUGUGAGUCUCAGACUAAGAAGAUUAGCAUAUGUAACACAUACCAUCUGAAGCCAUGACUUGUUCAUUAAUGGAGCACGUGAACACAUCAGAAAGGCGCAACGCCUGGACACGCCUAUGCCAUGUGGUCAAUACAAUAGAUGAAGAGGACACUUUGUCUCUUAAUAUGCCAGAAUUUACUUUCCAAGACCUGGAUGAUGCUUUUCUGAAUGAGGGACUUUCCAUGGAUAUGAUACAAGGGUGGCUUCAAGGCUG